rnacentral:rRNA from 1 species
AUUGAACGCUGGCGGCAGGCUUAACACAUGCAAGUCGAACGAGUGGCGGACGGGUGAGUAAUGCUUGGGAAUCUAGCUUAUGGAGGGGGAUAAAUAAGGGAAACUGUAGCUAAUACCGCGUACCAUAGGCUGAGCCCAAGUGGGAUUAGGUAGUUGGUGAGGUAAAGGCUCACCAAGCCGACGAUGUCUAGCUGGUAUGAGAGGAUGACCAGCCACGCUGGGACUGAGACACGUCCCAGAAUCCUACGGGAGGCAGCAGUGGGUAAUAUUGCGCAAUGGGGGCAACCCUGACGCAGCCAUGCCGCGUGAAUGAAGAAGGCCUUAGGGUUGUAAAGUACUUUCAGCGGGGAGGCGUUACCCGCAGAAGAAGCACCGGCUAACUCCGUGCCAGCCGCCGCGGUAAUUC